AAGAGACAGCAGCCGCCGCGGGAAUACGUAGGUGGCAAGCGUUGUCCGGAAUUAUUGGGCGUAAAGGGCUCGCAGGCGGUUUCUUAAGUCUGAUGUGAAAGCCCCCGGCUCAACCGGGGAGGGUCAUUGGAAACCGGGAAACUUGAGUGCAGAAGAGGAGAGUGGAAUUCCACGUGUAGCGGUGAAAUGCGUAGAGAUGUGGAGGAACACCAGUGGCGAAGGCGACUCCCUGGUCUGUAACUGACGCUGAGGAGCGAAAGCGUGGGGAGCGAACAGGGUUAGAUACCCCUGUAGUCCCUGUCUCUUAUAC
rnacentral:rRNA from 1 species